rnacentral:rRNA from 1 species
ACGAACGCUGGCGGCGUGCUUAACACAUGCACGUCGAACGGAAAGGCCUGCUUUCCCUUGUGGAUUGCGGGUACUCGAGUGGCGAACGGGUGAGUAACACGUGAGUGAUCUGCCCCCAACUUGGGUAUAAGCCUGGGAAACUGGGUCUAAUUCCCGAUAGGACUGCAGGGUGGUGCCUGUGGUGGAAAACGAUUUUCUAGUGGUUGGGGAUGAGCUCGCGGCCUAUCAGCUUGUUGGUGGGGUAAUGGCCUACCAAGGCGGCGACGGGUAGCCGGCCUGAGAGGGUGGACGGCCACAUUGGGACUGAGAUACGGCCAAGACUACUACGGGAGGCAGCAGUGGGGAAUAUUGCACAAGGGGCGGAAGCCUGAUGCAGCGACGCCGCGUGGGGGAUGACGGCCUUCGGGUGGUAAACUCCUUUCGACCGCGAGGAAGCCACCUGGUUGGAAGGGUGGUGACGGUAGUGGUAGAAGAAGCACCGGCUAACUACGUG